UACGAAGGGGGCUAGCGUUGCUCGGAAUUACUGGGCGUAAAGCGCGCGUAGGCGGCUUUGUAAGUUAGAGGUGAAAGCCCAGGGCUCAACCCUGGAAUUGCCUUUAAGACUGCAUCGCUUGAACAUCGGAGAGGUAAGUGGAAUUCCGAGUGUAGAGGUGAAAUUCGUAGAUAUUCGGAAGAACACCAGUGGCGAAGGCGACUUACUGGACGAUUGUUGACGCUGAGGUGCGAAAGCGUGGGUAGCAAACAGG
rnacentral:rRNA from 1 species